AACUUGAGAGUUUGAUCCUGGCUCAGAACGAACGCUGGCGGCAUGCCUAACACAUGCAAGUCGAACGAGACCUUCGGGUCUAGUGGCGCACGGGUGCGUAACGCGUGGGAACCUGCCUUAAGGUUCGGAAUAACAGUGAGAAAUUACUGCUAAUACCGGAUAAUGUCUUCGGACCAAAGAUUUAUCGCCUUUAGAUGGGCCCGCGUUGGAUUAGCUAGUUGGUGGGGUAAAGGCCUACCAAGGCGACGAUCCAUAGCUGGUCUGAGAGGAUGAUCAGCCACACUGGGACUGAGACACGGCCCA
rnacentral:rRNA from 1 species